GGGUUUGUAAGUUAUACUAAACUAAUUAUCUGCAAAGUAAUUUAAGAGGUAUUAAGGAACCUCCCUUCCCG
rnacentral:tRNA from 1 species